UUGGUUUUGUUUUCUGAAGAAGUGAUCUUAUAUUUGUGUAUCUCUAUGUGCAACUUUAAUAUGGGGUUAUUAAGGAUGGAGAUAAAGGAGGAAGAAUUGAGAGAGAAAAGGCAGAAAUGACUUAAUUGUUGGGAUGAGUAUGACCCCAUGUCUAGUAGUUCCCAAGUAUGAUAUAGGAAGGCUGACUGAUUAAUGGAACUGAUCUUGUUGCGGUCCGUUUUAGAGUCCGGAGGAUUUAUCCGUAGGACUAUCCAUAUGGAAAGAAGGGUCCAGGUUUCAUAAGACUCCUUCUACGCGGUCUUCGCAAUAUUCUUUGCACUGGGGGAGGGCUCAAAGAAUUUGAGAUUAGAUUGGAACUGAUUGUAGUAGGCGAAGGACGGAUAUUAUUGGAAGGCAAUCGCAUAUUGAAUUGCGCCUAAGGCCACUCCUAACUAUUAAUGGAAAGGACCCACGGAGCGGUGCAAAGAAUAUAUAGAAGGGCAGACAGGUCCGGAGGACCUGUCUGUCCUUCGGUCUUAAUACUCCUAACGUCGAAUAAGAAGCUGGAGGUUGGGUCCAGGUGCAAAGAAUAUUGUGUCCAUUAGAUCCAUUGAAUUAGGCGAAGGAUUUUAUCAAGCUUAGCUUUCUGGAUUCUUCGGCGGAGUGAGGCUUUCUCUAGUAGGUCUGGAGGCACAAAGAAUGAUCGAAGGCUCCAGACCAUAAAGAAGAGAGUCGGAGGACUUCCAUUGACUUUUUCUUCCUUUCACUUCUAACUUCAAACCUUUCAUAUUCAACCUUGAAAAUAAAGGAGGGAGCGGACUACGGAGGCCAUAAGUUUGAGUUCCUCAGAUGUAUAAAAACAAGUCCUCCGGACGACCUAUCCACUGAAAGUAGCUACGUAGUCUUGUCUCCUUCCCGCGUAGUGGGCAUUGACUUCUUCAUUGAUUUUCUUCUAUCUCCCACGUAGCGGUUGAAUAUGAAAGGAAGCCCACAGAGCUGAAGAUGGAGCGGGAUAAUAAAGAAGAAAGCUCAAAAGGAGGGAGCGGACCUCAAUGAACAAGGGGAGGACUCGUUUUCAUCCUUAUGGAAGAAAAAUCUCUUUUUUUUUAUCUAAAAGACGUAGAAGGAGGCUCAAUGUCUAAUCUUUCUCUCAAAUCAAUAUCCCCCAGUGCAAAUAUUCCAGCAAUAUUCUCAAUAUGAAAAGAGCCUUUCUUCUUUUCUUAGAUAAAUGCGCUUCGUAGAUUAUGCUGAAGGAGGAGUGGGCCAUGAUCUUUGCUCCUUAAUUUCCCUAAUGGAUAGUCAUCUGGACCUUUCUUUUUAGUUCUUUGCGCUCGUCAACGCAUAUUUCAUUGCGCCUUCGCCUUCAAUGAAAUCCAUAAAUAAAUAAGGGUAGAUUUCAGACUCAAGAGGAGGGUUCCUUAUCAAUAUCAAUGAGACGGAUAGGCUUUCUUUUACAUUCCACAGGUCUGAAGGACUAUCCAUAUUAACAUGUCUGUCCUUCGCCUAACUAGUUCAUAUAGACCUUUGUUUUUCUUCCGCAGUCACUAAUAUGGAUAGUCCGGAGGACCUCCUUCAGCAUAAUCUAUGAAUGAUCGGAGCAAAGAAUAUUGCGAAAAAGAAGAAAGGAGUGCAAGCGAAAAAUAAUGGAUUGAAUAGUCCUUCGGACGAACUACCGCACUUGGGGGAUAUUGUUGAGAAAGAAUAUUGAAAAAGAAUGAUCGAAGAAUAUUGAAAAAGGACGGAGGAUAGGCUUUCUUUGAACAAUGUGGAUGUAUCAAAGAUUCCACAGGUUAAUAUGGUAGAUUUCAGACUAGUCCUUCACCUUGGAUCUGGGGACUAUUCUCUGUUCUAAUAGACAGAGGAGAGGUUCAAAGAAUAUUGAGAAUACUCGUGCAAGCGCAAUCAAUGAACAAGGUGAAAAGAAUAAAAAAAAGGCGGUCGAUGAUCAGGAAGAAAAAGUCAAAAGUCUAUCCCAUCUUCUUCGUUAGGCGCAAAGAAGAAAAACAAGGUGCAAAGAUCUAUGGCCCAAUUAUAAGGGGUCCAGAUGCACCAUAAGACUGGUCCGAAGGACUAUCCAUAUUAACCGGAGUCUUCAACAAGAUUUCCAACAUUGAAUAUUAAGCUACUGAGGCCCAAUAUUGCGAAGGAAGAACUGCGCCAUAAGACAGGUCCGAAGGACUAUCCAUUAGGGAAUGAGACGGAGGUAACGUUUGGUUUUUUGGGAAACUUGUUGGUCGCGGAUUAGUGCGUUUUUUUUGGAAAGUAACAAUUCUCUUCAGUUUGGUUUCAGAAAACUUGUUGGUCACGGAUUAGUGCGUUCUGCGCCGCCUGGUGUCACAAACAUAUUUUUCCAAAGUGUGUUUACCUUUGGUUAUAUGCUCCGAUUACCCCCAGUUUAUCUCAUGUUUAGUUUGCAUAACUAGUUUAGCUGAUUGCUUUUCAUUCUAGGUCAUAAAGCUUGGGUGUGACGUUUCGGCAUUUUCAUAUGCAAGCCUGCCAGAGAGGAAAAUGUUCAAAAUGUACUAUAGGGGAGGCAUACCAGUUGAAUCCCCGCCCAAGCAUUAGUUGUACUCUUUGCAAGCAACCCUUUUUCCUUGCAAUUGACAGUCUUUAAUGCUUAUUGUAACGUCUAUUUCAAUGUAUUUCUUUCUUUCCCGUGUUUUAUAAAUAAAAUGUCCCUAAAACGCAAACGAAGGUUACGACAUACAUCGACGUUACCCACAACUCUUGGAUAUUGAUCGACUGACUUGUUCAUCGAGUUAGAACAAGUGCCGCACAAUCGUCCGUCUCGAGGUUGAAACGCUACGGUUGUGACAAGUGGUAUCAGAGCCAAAGUUGGCUGAGUGACAGUUUUGACAAAAAUAAAAUGUCGACUGCAAAACGAGCGAGCAAGACCCAUGAAGAACGGUUGGUGGGGAUCGAAGUGCAGAUGCUCCACCUGAUGGAAGUUCCUGAUUCCAUCCGGUUCUUGGAAUAGCGGCUUGAGGAUAUUGCCAAGAAAGCUGAUGGCAUUGAAGCCGUGUCCGGUCGCCUUGACGGACUACCCAUCCAAGAGUUACUGACUAGAGUCGACACUCUAGAGUCCCGAGUUAUGAGAACGGGAAAUGUCACCUACGAGCGUGGGGACAGUUCAUCGGGCUCUGUUGCCCAGAUGGAAGAACGAGUUAUGGAGCUUGAUAACUCGCAAAAGAACAUGUUGGAGAUGAUCAGCGGCAUGACAAAGGAUUUUCGAGCAACCCUCGAUGUCGUGAGGAAUGAGCUCGCAGAGGUAAGCACGAGGGUGAACCUUACUAUGCGAGCACUAGAAAAUCAGGCUCUAGCUGGAGGAGCCAUUCCUGUGGGCAGAAUCAAGAUUCCUGAGCCCAAGCCCUUCUGUGGGCGAGAGAUGCCAAGGCGUUGGAAAACUUCAUUUGAUGUCGAGCAGUAUUUCAAAGCCACGAACACAAUUACUGAAGAGGCCAAGGUGACGUUGGCAACCAUGCAUCUGACAGAAGAUGCGAAGUUAUGGUGGAGGUCCCGAUACAUGGACAUUCAAGAAGGGCAUUGCACAAUCGACACGUGGGAUGCCCUAAAAGGAGAACUUCGUUCGCAAUUUUCCCUGAGAAUGUCGAAAUUCUGGUCCGACGGAAGCUGCGUGAAUUGAAGCACACGGGGAACAUUCGGGACUACGUGAAACAGAUUGCGGGGUAAUGUUGGAUAUACGCGACAUGAUCGAAAAAGAUAAAAUAUUCAGCUUUGUUGAAGGGUUGAAGCCAUGGGCAAGGACUAAGCUAUACGAGCAGAAAGUCCAAGACCUCGUGUCAGCCUAUGCAACAGCUGAACGUUUGUUUGAUCUGUCUAAUGACGUUCAAGAGACAAGACAUCAUUGAAGCUCUUCACCUGGAAGAGACAGAAACAGCCGACUGAGUUCUCCCGAAGCUGUCAGUAGAAAUAAAAGUCCCGGCAGAGACCGCAAGCCCUUCCAGUCAAAUACGGGGAACACCAGGCAAAGGCCCACUAGUCAAAGGACCUCCCACACUCCUAUCAGUUGCUACAUUUGUAACAGGCCACAUCGGACAAGGGAAUGUCCGGAUAAAGCGGCCUUCUACGCCUUCCAGGCCUCUCUGGCUACAGACUUAGGUGACAAGUUGGGUCAACCAGAGAAUGAAGGUGGGUAGGUGGAGGAAGUCCAAAACGUUAGAGUAGGGGCCAUAAGACUCUUGUCGUUCCUUCAGAAUAAAGCAGGGGAGACAAGUGGUCGUACAAAAGGGGGCCUAAUAUAUGUGGACACCUGGAUCAACCGAAGGCAUGCAAAGAGCACUAUGGUUGACUUCAGUGCAACCCAUAAUUUUAUAACGGUGGCGGAAGCCAGACGAUUGAACCUUCACUAGAAGAAGGAUACAGGAAAGAUGAAGGCCGUAAAUUCUACAGCUUUACCCGUCGUCGGAGUAGUGAAACGAGCGGUGAUACAGUUGGAAAGAUGGAACGACCUUGUUGACUUUGUGGUUGUGGGCAUGGAUGACUUUGAUGUAGUUCUCGGAAUGGAAUUCCUUCUCGAACAUCAAGUGAUCAUGAUGCCUGCAGCCAAAUGUCGGUGAUCACGGGAUCUACCCCCACCAUUAUGCAGAUAGAACUCCGGCAACCCAAAGGAUUGAGAAUGGUCUCGGCCAUGCAACUGAGGGAGGGCCAUAUUCAGGAAGACACAAGGCGUGUCGUGGAGAGACGUUGUGAUGGGAAACAGGAUAGUUUGCCCAUGUCAGAAUCGCCUACGAGAAAUGAUCAUCGUAUGGCGCAAUCAAAAUCAUCUGGACUCAGGAGACAGUCAAGGAGACUGUCAGGUGCAGGAUCCACUAGACCUGCGAGAGAUCCGUAUCAAGCACAAGACUUCUUACGGAAGGAAGAGAAUGGGCAAUUGUGUGUCAACAACCGUGUCCUAAAGCAAGCCCCGAGGAGAGGGCCAACUUUUGAGUCCGUGAGUGGGACUCAGCCUGUUGAAGCUUACGCUAAGGCAUAUGGUCCUGUGUCAGGUGGCAUCCUAAUGCAGAAUAGACACUCUGUCACAGCUGAGAGUCAGAAACAAAGUGCCGCAGAAGGUAGUUAUACGAUGUUUGGAAAAGGAAUGCUGACCACGAUACGUAGUCUGAAGGAUGGAAGACAACAUUCCCAGGGGUCUACACAUGGAAGAGAGACGAACAACAUUGCGACCAACCGCUUUGAUACUCGGCCGAAGUGGGCUUUGAGUCAAGAAAAGUGGCAGAGGGACGUGUCAAGGGAAUCCUUGCAGAAAAACUCUGUCAUUGAAGUUGAUGUAAGUCUGGCGGAGACCAGUCAGGUGGAAGAAAAGAAUGGAGUUCAAUUGUGGAAGCUAACCCAAUCUUAUGUUAAUGCUGCAAUGAGUUCGUCAAUGGAUGGAAACCAAUUUGUGGGUGUUUGUGGCGGACAUUCUGUACAGUCCCGCCUUGUUGGUCCCUCCUGUGUUGGUAAGAAUCCUCAAGCUUGCAACAGUACCAAGAGGUGGAAGCUGGAGUCAGACAUCGUUCGGACCGAUCGAGAGGAAGCCUCGAAGUGGCCAGAAAAGUGGGCAGAUAAGAAGCAUCGCCUCCGUGAUUCCCGUGGGGGAGACCAGGUCAUCGUCAAACGGCGAUCUGAACUGACUCAGUUUUUGAAGAAGACUUCAAGAUCACUGCCUCGUGAGAGAACGCGAGGGACAAACAGAAGUUCAAGAAGUCCUUGCUAAAGAAGCAAGGAAAAGAAGAAGACCCAUGGGGGGAUACACAAGUUCGUGGUGAAGCAGAGGAGCCUCCUCAUGGAAGAAGCCUGUGGAAGACGUACAAAUCUUCUUAUAGAUUAUGUUGAAGGAGGCGGCANNNNNNNNNNNNNNNNNNNNNNNNNNNNNNNNNNNNNNNNNNNNNNNNNNNNNNNNNNNNNNNNNNNNNNNNNNNNNNNNNNNNNNNNNNNNNNNNNNNNNNNNNNNNNNNNNNNNNNNNNNNNNNNNNNNNNNNNNNNNNNNNNNNNNNNNNNNNNNNNNNNNNNNNNNNNNNNNNNNNNNNNNNNNNNNNNNNNNNNNNNNNNNNNNNNNNNNNNNNNNNNNNNNNNNNNNNNNNNNNNNNNNNNNNNNNNNNNNNNNNNNNNNNNNNNNNNNNNNNNNNNNNNNNNNNNNNNNNNNNNNNNNNNNNNNNNNNNNNNNNNNNNNNNNNNNNNNNNNNNNNNNNNNNNNNNNNNNNNNNNNNNNNNNNNNNNNNNNNNNNNNNNNNNNNNNNNNNNNNNNNNNNNNNNNNNNNNNNNNNNNNNNNNNNNNNNNNNNNNNNNNNNNNNNNNNNNNNNNNNNNNNNNNNNNNNNNNNNNNNNNNNNNNNNNNNNNNNNNNNUACACAUUUCAGUCUAACGCCCCGAAGGACGUACAUAUCAGUCUAACGCCCCGAGGACGUACAUAUCAGUCUAACGCCCCGAGGGACGUACAUAUCAGUCAAGUGUUCUGCAGAAACACAUAUCAGUCAAAUGCUCCCGAAGGUGCAAAAUAAAUUGGUGAUCCCUACAAGGUAAACAUCCCAAUACAACCUAACAAUUUAUCCCCUCAUUCCAUUCAACCCAUCUUUCAGUUACUUCAAAUCACAAAGUCCUUUCUUUCAACAUCCUAACAGUCAACUUAUUUUACUACAAUCAUAUGUCUGUCAAUAAAAUGCUAAUACAUCAGUCAAUCCACUAUACAGUCAAGUCAAUACACCCCUCAGUUCACCAGCACAAACCACAGUUCAGUAUAAUCCACAUCCAACCGAAACAAAUUCACUAGUUCACAUCCAAUCUUUAUACAGCACAAAUCUAUUAAUAUCAUCAUGUACACAUAAGCAUAAUUUCAGUCAUUCACAAUGUAUACUUUUGGCAAUCCACAUGCAAUUCACACAUCAAUGUAACAUAUAUAUGUUUCCAGUCAAAUACAACAUACACUAAACAUUUAGUCUGCAAUCAAACAUGUACAUCUUAAUCAUCAUCCAUACAGUCCAUCCAACACAAACUCAAAAACUUUAGGUGAGGUCCAGUAGAAAGUCCCUUACCUCAAAGUUAGGGAAGCUCCUUAAUCAACUAACGUCCUCGAAACAAUCCGAUAUAUUUGGCGAACUGAACCCUCAACAAUUCACAAAAUUGGUUGUGAAUUUAUAGGGAGCCCAACGUUACUCCCAACACCUUCAAGAACCAAUUAACAAAUUAGCUAAACAUUCCAACCAUAACACUUGAAACCACUUUGAAACCAAUUACCAUUCAUACUUAAGUUGUUACCAACAAAGCAACCUCGAUAAAAUUUGUAAAACAGAGACAGCAGCACACCUCAACGCACGACUGUCAGACUCGCAGCAAAAAUCCUAAGUGUGGGUCGGUCAGCGGUCGGCCAAAGGAGACGUGGCGGCUGCCUCAAAAUCGAUCAACGAUCUGACGCGGUCGGAGAGUCGCGCGGCAGUGCAAAAAAUAGAGGAGAACGGAAUGGGCGGCGGCUCGAAACAGAGGUUGCGCGGCAGGGCUCCACGAAGACAGAACCAGCAGAGACGGUUGCAGAACCGUGGCUUCGACGGAGACAAAACCGGCGGAGACGGUUGCAGCGGCGGUUACUGCGCGAACGGAGAGAAGGAAACGGAUGGGGCGGCUGGGCUACGGCGGGAAGAGAACGGAAGAGAAAGGAUCGGUGGCGGUUGCGGCUGGGCUGCGACGGGAAGAAAACGGAAGGGAGAAGAGAAAAGAGAAAGGAAAAGAGAAGAGAACGGGGGGGGGGGGGGGGGGGGUCGCGGCGCGCUUGAGGGAGAGAGAAAGAGAGAGUUUUUCUUUUUUUCUUCUUUCUUUCUUUAUUUUUUCUUUUUCCUUUUUAUUAAAAUUAAAUAUAAAUAAACAAAUAUAUAUAUCUCACGGUUAAUAUAUAAAACUAUUAUAAAUGUAAACAAGAUGUGAUAUAUAUAUAUAAUAAAUCACAUAUACAACCUAUUAUAUCAUGCGAUAAUAUUCUAAAACUAGUAUAAUCAUAAAUAGUAUGUGAUAUAUGUUUAAAGGGAAUAUUAAAAAACUGGUAAAAUCAAAAUAGAAUAACAUUAAAAUAAGAGGAAUAUUGUUAAUAUAUAUUAUAUAUACGCGUAUGAUAUACUCAGAAUGAACUAGUUUUAAAUGGACAAAAUAACAAAUGACUGUGGAUUUUAUCUUAUUUUCAGGUGAUGGACAAUUGUAUAUGAUGGCGAUUUGUUAAGAUUCUGCAGCUUGCGGUUAUGAUAAAUUUGAAUACAAAUUUAUAAAACAAUGUAAUAAGAAGUUCAAAUGAUGGAGAAGAAUAGCAAAAAAAAGUUGUCGGCGAUGGAGAAGAUAAUGUAAUGGCUGCCAGAGAGAGUGAACAAUUAGGUUAAGUUAUAUUUUUAGAAAGAAUAAUUAAAUAGUUUAUUACAAAAUAAAGUAAAAUUACAAUUAUUAUAAUAUAUUCUGAUUUAUAAUUAAUUUAAAAGAUACUUGAAAUUUAUUAACAUAUUAAGGUCUUUUGUCUAAAAGUUUCAACUAAUAAUAAUGAUAGUUCUCAUUAACCAAUUGACAAAUGAUUGAUAUUGUCAAAUGAUCGAUAUGUGCAAGUGCACAUUUCAAUUAUAAUAUAGUAAAACGUUCUUAGAGAUCGAGCUAGUAUCCUUUUAAGAGGGAUCAAAUUAACAAAUUAAUUUAUUGAUUUUAGGAUUAGGAUGUGUUUUAAGGAUUAAAAACAAUGAUUAGAAACUAAUAAAAAGAUCCCUAAAAGACAAAUAUGAAAUCUCAAAGAAUAAAAAAUGCUCCAAAAUUGUUUUUGAUUUCACUGUUCAAUCCAUAAAAUCAUGAUGUGUAUAGGUUAUAUGAAAACUAGUGUCAGUAUGUGUUCAGAUGUAGGAACUAAUUAACUACAAGUUGUUGACUUUUGAAAAGAAUAUCUUUCCAUUCAAACAUAAUUGUUCCUAAUCUCUUCCAACUAAGUUAAAUAUUAUGGUAUUAAACAGAUACAUAGUUUGGUUGGUAGUUUCUCUUCAAAAUUAUUAUUUUGAGAAAACAAAUACAAUUUCUUUUUUAGGUAAUCCAAUAUCCUCGAGUAUAUUUAUAAAUAUGGAAAUAUUAUUUCCAUAUUAGAAGAGAUACUAAAAGAUCUUAUUACAACAUCAUUAGAGUCCCAUCAUUUUCUCUAAAUAUCUCUUUUGUGGUGAAAGAUUUGGAAUUGCACAUCAAUCAUUUUGGAGUGGGUAAUUGAUCACCCUAUUUUUCAAAAAAUAAGAAAGAUAAAAAUAGUUAUUUUUUAAAAGAUAUAUUUGAAAGUGUUGAGUUUAUGGAAGGUAUUAGUACUUAUACAACCACAAGACAUUUGAUUUUUGUUAUCUAAAUUAUUUUAAUAAAAAUGUUUUUUUUUUUUUUGAAGUUUAUGCUUAUUAAAAAUGCUUAUUUAAAAAAUGUUAAUGAAAUUUUAAAAAAUAAAAUCUAAUUAAACACUUUUGAGAUAGAGAGGUUUCCCUUGACUACCCGAGCGUAGAUAAACACUUCUGAGAUUUGGUUGGUAAUCCCAAGUUCGUGUGCAGUUGAUUAUUUUUUAAAUUUUGUAUAGUUGAAUAAUAUUUGAAUUUUAAAUUUUCAUCUAUGUGAUAUUUACUCAUUUCAAACUUUUUGAAUAUGCAUGUUUAUUUAUUAUUCUGCCGUCUCUCUAUUGUAUUUUAAAAUUUAGAAUAUGUGUAUUUAUAUUAUUUGAAAUUGAAAAUUUAACUUUUGCUCUUACACUAGGCUUUAACUCUUUGUUUGUCCGUGUUGUAGGUGAGAGAGAAGGAAAAGUUCCAUUGUUUGAUUGAAUUGGAAUUGUUUCCUGCAUGGGGUGUCAUACAUAAUCCACUUAUUACUAGUUAAAGGUCUUCUUUGCCUCUGUCUUCUUCCCCAUCUCCCCAAGUUGUUCUAACCUUUUUAUAUCUACCUAUUACAUGUCAAAAGGCGGAUAAUUUCGCUCUUCAAUGUUUUGAAACAAGUUCAUUAUGAAAAUCUCUCACAAGCAAACGUCAAUGUGCAUUAUGAAUAAUUUCAUCUCAAAAAAAUUGUUUGAGAGGUUUCAAAAGUGUAUCGAAACUAAUAAUUUUAAUGAAUAAAAAAAUAAUUCUUCGUUAGAUUCUUACAUUUUAUUUCAACCAAUAAAAUUUAGGAGAAUUUUUAAAAAUAGCAAAUUUUACAAAAAAUAUUUACAAUUUAUAACAAAUUUAUAGUCAUUGAUAUGCUAUAACGAUAGUUACUAGUAAAUAUUUUAAUUUAUUUUGUUAUUUUAAAAAAUGCUCAUAAAAUAUUAUAGUGAGGGAACAAUGAUGAAUCACAUAGUUCUUGUGGUGAUGUCGCUUUUUCUCCCUCUUUACAUUCUAAAAUCUCAAAUACAAAUCAUAAAACAAGUAGAUAUACAUUCAAUUAACAUGAUUUUGAUUCUAAUAAAUUAGAAAAGACAAAAAUAACUAACUAAUUAUGGAAAAGUAAUAUUUUAACAUGAAUUAUUGAUUUUUAAUUAGAGGUAAUUUUAAAAUAAAUAAAAUAAAAGAAAAUAUUACAAAUCAAAUCUAAACUAACUUUGAUUUUACUUCUUUAAUUGCAAUAUAACAUAGAUACAUUGGCUAUGAAGUGCAAUUUCUUAUAUUAUAAUAUUUAAAAGAUUUAAAUUUAAAAAUAAAAAUAAGUAAUCUCAAGUCCAAUAUUGGACCCGUGGGGCUUAGCCCAUCAAUUUAAAAAUUCAAAAUGCACACUCAACGGUCACAUUUUCCUAGGAUCAUCCUAUUUAAUGCCCUUCUACUUGUCAACUCCAUCGAAAUCCUUCAUUUCUUGUGGCACCGUCUAAAAUUUGCUUCGAUUGAAGAAAUUUUGACGCCCAUGACAGCGUUGAAAUUUCUUCAAUGCAAACAAAUUUUUUAUCUUCCUUUCAUCGAGGAUUUUCAUACCAUGUGAAGGAGAGAUCAGUUCCAUCAGUUCCAAGUCGUUCGUGAGUCAUCUUCUUUCCUGUGUAGUUUUCAUCUCUUGAUUUUGGAUUGCUUGUUCAAGAUUUAUUUUCGAAUUUUGGAUUGUUUGCUAUUCGGAUAGGCAGAAGGUUUGCACGAUGAUAGAUCUGGAGUACCUGAAUCGUUUAUUGAUUCUGUAGUUUAAUCUUAUGAUUUUGGUGAUUUCGAAGCGUACAAUAUAAUCGUACUGUGUUAUGAAGUAAAUAAGAUUUUGUAGGGUUUUUGAAAGUUAAUUUAGAUAUUUCCUGCAUUUUAGUCUUGAUAGAUCUGGGGUACCUGAACCGUUCAGGUUUGCAUGCUGUGAUUGUGUUGUUCUUUUUUGAUUUUGGAGAGAGUCCUUGGGUAAUUUUGAGGAUUGUUCUUUUUUUAGUUUUUUUUUGCAUGCAUUCAAACACACGCAUGGUUUUUAAACUGGGGUUCUUGAAUAUUUGUCGGUUUUCUCGAAUAUUUGCCGGUUUUUUUUUCUCAGAAGAAUUGAUCUUAUAUUUGUGUAUCUCUCUGUGCAACUUUAAUAUAAAGUUAUUAAGGAAGAAGAGAAAGGAGGAAGAAGGGAGAGAGAAAAGGUAGAAACGACCUAAUAGUAGGCAUGAGUAUUAAGAUGCAGCAGAGCCACCACUUAGUGGCGCUAAGGUUUAAUGAGCAAAUUGACAGUAGAAAAGGGUCCACAUCCAUACCUAAGUUACUAUUGCUCUGGGUUCUGUUGGUGGCAUUCAUUAGUAUGUUAAACUACAAAGAAAUGGAUGGGUGGUGUUAACAAAGUUAGAAGAAAGUAAGUUCUGGGAAGUAUGUGUGACCAGACGACAAAGAUGCUUCUGCCUCAACUUAGUGUCAGUGUCAAACUAUGUCCAGGCUUUGGCCAUUCUCAUUUCCAUUUUCCAGUACUUCAAAAUCGUAUCAGCAAUUGAUCAGGAAAAUGUGUUUCGAUUUCUGUCUUUUAUUAGUCUCGGUUAGUUAGGCUUAAGAGUAAGGGAUAUAAUUCAUUUUUCUUGUUUCAGCUAGAAAUUACGUCGAUGUCUUGAUUUUUAGUUUUUUUAGGGCUGUUUGGUUGUUUUUUUAGGGGUGUUUGGUUAGUUAGGCCUAAGAAGUAAGGGCUAGUGAAAGAGAAGCAUUUGAUUGUCCUACAAGUAUCUGAAUCGCCAAUGAAAGCAGAGGUUAUUUCCUCUGAAUUUCCACGAAUUGUUCAGGUUUGGAUUCUGUGAUUGUGUUGUUCUGUUGUUCUCUUUUUUAUUUUGGAGUGUUCUAGGAAAUUUUGAGGUUUGUUAUUUUUUAGUUUUUUUGGCUUGCCUUUAAUCACGCUCGUUUGGGAAUAGACAGGCUUCAGAGAAUGAAUCUCCUUUUUAAGGGUUCGUUGGGGAGCGAAGUGACCAUAUGGCAUCCCUUUCUGCACCUGCUCAGUCUCUCUCUUGCCUUUUUCAUACUACAUAUUUUUGUUUCUCAAUUUAGUGUCAGUGUCAACCAUGUCUAUGCUUUGGCCAUUCUCAUUUCCACUUUCCACUACUCUAAAAAUGUAUCUGCAAUUGAUCAGGUAAAAGUGUUUCAAUUCUCUGUCUUUGGUUCAUCUCCGUUAGUUAGUCUUAAGAGUAAGGGAGAUAAUUCGUUUUUCUUGUUUCCCUCCAUGUAUUGAUUUUUAGUUUUUUAGGGAUGCUUGGUUGGUUUGAAUGCACGAAACAUUUGCUGGUACACGAUUCAAACAGCUUGCCCAGUCAUGUUUUUCUAUUUUUUUUUAAUAUUUUGGAAUUUUGCAUGUGUGAUUUCUGUAUAUAUUAUUCUUGCCCUUUUCCUUUAUCAUCAUUUAUUUUGAUUUUGGAGAGGUCUCUUGGUUAUUUGUUAUUUGCACAUAUACAAGGGUUGAAAAUUUCAAUCCCACCUCUCUUUUAUAUUACAUUCAUUUAGUUUUGGCUGUUAUCUAAUUGAACUAUUUGAUCAUCAAAUAAUUGUGUUACCUUUUCUUCUAGAUGUUUAGAUUCAUUUUUCUCACUAUUUUAGUUUUCUUAAUGUGCGACAGUCUUUGUUUUUUAUUGAACUAUUGUGUGGCAGUCUUUAUUUAUUGGUUAUCUUUAGUUUCACUAUUGUUCUUUUUUUAAUGUUUUCUUAGUUUUUAAUAAGUGUGACAAAAUAUGAAUUAAUUUUUUUCUUUGAACAAAUGUGGAAUUUAUUUUCUUUUAAUGUAGUUGUGUCCCCAAUAAAUUUAUUUUGGCGAUUUAACAAUCCAUCAUGUUCUUUUUCAUUUUUCUGUUGUAUUUUCUUGGUUCUUUGUUGUGGUAUGUCUAUUUUUGAGACAUUCUUAAUUUAGUUUUAUUUCUUUUAGCUUCCUGCAUCAUUUUGUAUUAUGGAUUGUUAUGAAAUUUUGAGAUUAUGCUUUAUUUUGUUUUUUGGUCCUUUGCUGUGAUGUCUUUUGAUUAUUUCUUUUGAGUGAACAGUUCAUGUAAGAUUUUCUGCAUGAGAAUAAAUUGAUUAUUUAAUUUGGUCAAAGAAGUUCAAAAUUUACAUGUGAAAUUUACACUCAGUGGCUGUAAGGUUUAAUGAGAAAAUUGGAAGUAGAAAAGAGUCCACAUUAAUUCAUUCAGCCAAGAGGGCUUGGCAUCCUAAGUUUGCUCUGGGUUCUGUUGGUGGCAUUCAUCAAUAUGUUAAUCUAUUAGGGAAUGUAUGGUUAUAACAAAGUAAGAAGAAUGGAAGUUCUGGGGGAGUAUUUGUGACAAGAGGGCAAGGAUGCUUCUGCAUCAAUUUAGUGUUAGUCAAUCAUGUCUAUGCUUUGGCCCUUCUCAUUCCACUUUCCACUACUACAAAAAUGUAUCUGCAAUUGAUCAUGUAAAAGUGUUUCAAUUUUCUGUCUUAGGUUCAUCUCAGUUAGUUAGUCUUAAGAGUAAGGGAGAUAAUUCAUUUUUCUUGUUUCAGCUAGAUGUUACCCUCCAUGUCCUGAUUUUUAAUUUGGCUUCCUAAGUGUGCUCUAGGUUCUGUUGGUGGCAUUCAUCAGUAUGUUAAUCUACAGGUGAAUCUAUAGUUAUAACAUAGUAAGAAGAAUGGAAGUUCUUGGGGAGUUUGUGUGACAAGAGGGCAAGGAUGCUUCUGCAUUAAUUUAGUAUCAGUGUCAACCAUGUUUAUGCUUUGGCCAUUCUCAUUUCCACUUUCCACUACUCCAAAAAUGUAUUAUCUGCAAUUGAUCAGGUAAAAGUGUUUCAAUUUUCUGUCUUUGGUUCAUCUCAGUUAGUUAGUCUUAAGAGUAAGGGAGAUAAUUCGUUUUUCUUGUUUCAGCUAGAUAUUACUCUCCAUGUCUUGAUUUUUAGUUUUUUAGGGGUGCUUGGUUGGUUUGAAUGCAGGAAACUUUUGCUGGUACACGAUUCAAACAGCUUUCCAUGUCAGGUUUUUCUAUUAUUUUUCUUUAAUAUUUUGGAACAUGUGUAAUUUCUGUAUAUAUUAUUCUUGCCGUUUUCCUUUUUCAUCAUUUAUUUUGAUUUUGGAGAGGGUCUCUUGGUAACUUGACUUUUCUUUUAGUUUUGACUGUUAUCUAAUUGAACUAUUUGAUUAUCAAAUAAUUGUGUUACUUUUUGUUCUAGAUGUUUAUAUUCAUUUUUCCCACUCUUUUAGUUUUGUUAAUGUGUGACAGUCUUUGUUUUUCAUUGAACUAUUGUGUGGCAGUCUUUAUUUAUUGGUUAUCUUUAGUUUCACUAUUGUUCUUUCUUUAAUGUUUUUCUUAGUUUUUAAUAAGUGUGACAAAAUAUGAAUUUAUCUUUUUCUUUGAACAAAUGUGGAAUUUAUUUUUCUUUUAAUGUAGUUGUGUCCCCAAUAAAUUUAUUUUGGCGAUUUAACAAUCCAUAAUGUUGUUUUUCAUUUUUCUGCUGUAUUUUCUUUGGUUCGUUGUUGUGCGAUGUCUAUUUUUGAGACAUUUUUAAUUUAGUUUUAUUUCUUUUAGCUUCCUGCAUCAUAUUGUAUUAUGGAUUUUUUCGAAAAUUUGAGUUUGAUCUUGUUUUUCUGGUCCACUGCUGUGCAGUUUUUUUUAUGAGAUAUUUUUAUUUAGAUUUAUUAUCUUUUAGCUUGUUUUGCAUUUUGCAUUAUAGAUUAUUUUUUAAAAUUUUGAGGUUGUUUUUUUUCUUUGAUCUUUUGUUGCGGUGACAAUUUUAAUUUAGAUUUAUUAUCUUUUAGCUUGCUUGCAUUAUGGAUUGUUAUGAAAUUUGCUUUAUUUUGUUUUUUGGUCCUUUGCUGUGAUGUCUCUCUAUAAGACAUUUUUAAUUUAGGUUUAAUAACUUUUAGCUAGCUUGCAUUGUGGAUUGUUAUGAAAUUUUGAGUUUCUGCUUUCUUUUGAGUUUUGGUGAUGCCUUUUUACGAGACAUUUUUAAUUUAGGUUAAUUUUUUAGGUUGCUUGCAUUUAUGGAUUGUUCUGAAAUUUUGACUUUCUGCUUUUGUUUUUUAUGUCAUUUGUUGUGUGAUAUUCUCUUUAUAAGAUAGAGAUAUUUUUAAUUUAGGUUUACUAUUUUUUAGCCUGCUUGCAUUUGGUAUCAUAUAUGAAUUGUUCUGAAUUUUGAGUUUCUUAUUUUUCAGUCAUUUGUUGUGCGAUAACUUUUUAUAAGACAGACAUUAAGAUUUAUUAUUUUUGGACUUGUUUGUAUUUUGUAUCACGGAUUGUGGUUUUUUAAAUUCAGAGGAGGAACUAGAAAUUGUUCUUGUGAUAUGUUAAAAUCUAGUUUACUGCAAAGAAUGAAUUCUAAAACAGAGGGUAUGAAUAUCGUCAAUAAUUUUUCUCCAUUUGUGCGUUGAGCAAUGUUUAGCUGAUAUGUUUGUGUAUUCUUUACAUUAGUGCAGCACCACAUGCUAAUUUAGGUGUGAAAUGCUAAUUUAGAUGUGAAACACUUCCAAAGAUGACGAGAAAUCAAAGAUUGUCGUAGUAAAAAACCUCACCAGUUUUUCCUUUCAGGUUUUUCUUUUCUUUUUCUUUAAUAGUUUGGAAUUUUGCUGGUGUGAUUUCUGCUUUUCUCUUAUCAUUUAUUUUGAUUUUGGAGAGCAACUUUGGUAAUGUUAAGGUGAUUUAAGAAAAGUUGGUUGUCCAAGAAUCAAUAUUUUUAUAUUACCUUAAAUCUUCCUAAGACAUGUUGGGUCUUUCUUUGGCCUUUGUUAGUGUCUUCUAUUAAGUCUGUUAGUUUCACUUUAGUUGGGUCUUUUUUUAAUUUUAUUUUAUCUUUUAAAUUCCAAAUCCUACUCAUUUGGUCAUGACGAUUGAAUAAUCAUUGUUAAAUUUAUUUCUUGUUGGGAGUGUAGAUUUUAUUUUCUUUUUGGCCUUUGUUAUUUGCAUCUAUACAGGGGUUCGAAAAAUUCAAACCCUUCCCUCUUUUAUUCGACAUUCUUUUAGUUUUAUUUGUACUAUUGGAUUGUUAAAAACAAUUGUGUUACUAUUUCUUACAUUCCAUAAAGAACCCUUUCUGAUGAAUUAUUUCUUAUUGAACUGUUUUAAAAUUUUGAGUUUCUUCUUUUUCUUUUUUGGGUCCAUUGUUGGGGGAUGAUACAUCUUUAAUUUUUUUUUUUUUUUGAUAAGAGAUGAUACAUCUUUAAUUUAGAUUUAUUAUCGUUAGCUUGUUUUGCAUUUUGUAUUAUGUUUUUUGAAAUUUUGAGUUUCUUCUUUUUCUUUCUUUGGUCAUGUGUUGUGCGAUGUUAUUUGCAUUAGGGGUGUUUGGUUGGUUGUUUUUUUAGGGGUGUUUUGGUUAGUUAGGCUUAAGAAGCAAGGGCUAGUGAAAGAGAAGCAUUUGAUUGUCCUACAAGUAAUAAGCUUCUCCUCAAUCAUUCAACCAUUUUUUUAGUAAAGAAAGAGGCUUCUCCUCUGGCAACCAAAGUCCGUCCCUCGUUAACAGGUAAGUCUACCCCAUUACUUUUUAUGUCCUUUUAAUUAAGAUAUUUGGGUCAAUAUAUAUCAAAAUAAAUAAGAUCCAUCUUUGGUAAUUUUUAAAAAAUUUAAAUCUAUAAAUACUCAUUUCAUCUCUAAAAUUAUGUGAUUUGUACUUUCUAAAAUUCCCUCGAUGGUACUAAUACACUCUUAUAUUUGUAUUGUAAUUAUCAUGUCCUUUUUCUAUGGUUUUUUAAAGUUAAUUUAGAUCCUUAUUCGCUCUAGGUAUAAGUUGAAUGGAAGAGUUUUUUAGCCUUGAUAGAUCUUGAGUACCUGAAUCGCCGAUGAAACAGAGGUUAUUUUCUCGGAAAUUCCACGAAUUGUUCAGGUUUGGAUUCUGUAAUUCUGUUGGUUCUUUUUUGAUUUUGGAGUGUGUCCUGGGUAAUUUUGAGGAUUAUUAUUUUUUUGUUUUUUUGGCUUGCAUUUAAUCACGCACGUUGGGGAAUAGACAGGCUUCGGAGAAUGAAUCACCUUUUUAAGGUUUCGCUGGGGAGCGAAUUGGCCAUAAGGCAUCCCUUUCUGUUCAGUCUCUCUCUUGCCUUUUUCAUACUAUAUGGUUGUUGAACUGGGGUUAUUGAAUGAUUGUUGCUUUUAUUUUCAUAAGAAGUGAUCUUAUAUUUUUGUUUCUCUCUGUGUAACUUUAAUAUGAGGUUAUUAAGGAAGGAGAUAAAGGAGGAAGAAGGGACGGAGAAAAGGAAGAAAUGACUGGAUUGUUGGGAUGGGUAUGAAGAUGCAGUAGAGCCACCACCUAGGGGCUGUAAGGUCUAAUGGGCAAAUUGAAAGUAAAAAAGAGUGCACAUCCAUUCAAGCUAAGAGAGCUUGGAUUCCUAAAUUACUAUUGCUCUGGGUUCUGUUGGAGGCAUUGAUUGGUAUUGUUAAUCUACAAGGGAAUUGAUGGUGUUAACAAAGUUAGAAGAAAGGAAGUUUUGGGCGUAUGUGUGACCGGAGCACAAAGAUGCUUCUGCAUCAAUUUACUGUCAGUGUUAAACUAUGUCCAUGCUUUGGUUAUUCUAUUUUAUACUUUCCACUCCUCUCGAAAUGUAUCAACAAUUGUUUAUGUAAAUGUGUUUCGAUUUCUGUUUGAUACUUCUCAGUUAGUUAGGCUUAAAAGUAUGAGAGAUAAUUCAUUUCUCGUCUCAUAUAGAAAUUAUCUUGAUGUCUUGAUUUUUAGGGUUUUUUUCAGCGGUUUUUGGUUUUUUUAUUUUUUUGUUGGAUUUUGGCUAGUUAGGCUUAGAGGUGCAAGGACUUGUGAAAGAGAAGCAUUUGAUUGACCAACGAGUAAUUAGUUUCUCCUCAAGCAUCCCACCACUUUUCUAUUAAAGAAAUACAGGUACGUCUACGCUAUUACUUUUCAUGUCCUUUUACUUAAGAUAUUUAUAUAAAUAUAUAUAAAAAUAAAUAAGAUCCAUCUUUGGUAAUUUUUUUUAAAAUCAAAUCUGUGGAUAUUCAUUUCAUCUCUAAAGUUUUGCGUUUUGUUACUUUUUAAAAUUCCCUCCAUGUCACUAUUACACUCCUAUAUUUGUGUUGUAAUUAUGAUGUCCUUUUUCUAUGGUCUGUUAAAGUUAAUUUAAAUCCUUUUUUGCUCUUGGUUUAUGUUGAAGAAAUGGAAGAUUUUUUUAGCCUUAAUAGAUCUGGAGUACCUUAAUCGCUCUUGCAUUUUGUGAUUCUGUUCUUUUUCUAUUUUGAAGAGUGUCCUGAGUAAUUUUUAGGAUUUUUAUUUUAUAGUUUUUGUCGCUUGCAUUUAAACACAGACUUGGUUGUUGAACUGGGGUUCUUGAAUAAUUGUUGGUUUUGUUUUCUGAAGAAGUGAUCUUAUAUUUGUGUAUCUCUAUGUGCAACUUUAAUAUGGGGUUAUUAAGGAUGGAGAUAAAGGAGGAAGAAUGGAGAGAGAAAAGGCAGAAAUGACUUAAUUGUUGGGAUGAGUAUGACCCCAUGUCUAGUAGUUCCCAAGUAUGAUAUAGGAAGGCAUAGAGUCAAGGCCUUGUCUGACUCUAAUAGAAGUAAGUAGCUAACGCAACGCAAUAUUCUUUGCACCUUCAGUCUGUGAAUUUGAGGUGUAAGAGUUUGGCCAGAGGAGCUAGUCUCGUAACUGCGGGCGCAGUUCUAGUUCUUUACAAGACAGAUGGGAACGGUAGCUAACAAGUGUGCCCUGAGUGGAAUCCUACCACUACUCUUUCUACUAUAUUGGCAGGACGGGUGCCAAGUUAUUAGUAGCUAGGCAGCUAAGCCAGUAGUAGUUCAGUUCAGGCGCUGUUCUCAAAUCUAGUUGACUACGUUGUAGCGUAGCGGUACGGGACAGGAAAAGAAUUGAUAGCGGUACACUGAACACAAAGAAAUUUGAUAGACAUAUGUUGAGAGUUCGACAAGUAGCACUGAAUCUACUAUCAGUAGUGAUUUAUAGAAGUUGACUCGCUUAAACGAAGAGAGUGAACAAAGCAUAGCGGAGUGAAGAGAGAAAUGGUUUCAUUAGAUAGCUCUCUCGAUGUCCUUGUUAUCUUUCCUAGGUAGAUUGUGACUUAUUCAUUCUUUCUCGCUGACUCUGGUUUCCCCGCCGUGGAUCCUUUCUCGGUUAGGGCCUCCCCUAUCCUUAUUCAUUGAUCGCUCUCUUUGCCGCGAAUCUCGGCAUGGUGGUCCUUCGCCUCGCAAUAUUCUUUGCUCCUCCUUCCUGGGCUUGAUGGGUACAUCAAGCAUAUCGGCAUCUUGCUUCUUUGGUGUGGUACACAUAUCUAUCAAUGAAAAGAAAGUAAUAGAAUUCAUUCCCGCAUACUCGCAUAUUGAAUUGCGCCUUCAGACCAUCAAAGAAAGGUCCAGGGUCUGGAGUCCGCAGGAUUUAUCCGGAGUCCGAAGGAUUUAUCCGUAGGACCAUCCAUAUGGAGGGAAGUAGUCCGGAGGAUUUAUUCGUAGGACCAUCCGUAAUUAACAGAAGUAGGACUAUCCAUUAUCCUUCAUCCGGAGUCCGCAGGAUUCUUAUCCGUAGGACUAUCCAUAUGGAAGUAGGACUUGUUUUUAACCAAUCUGAGGAACUCAAACUUAUGGCCUCCGUAGUCCGCUCCCUCCCUUUAUUUUCAAGGUUGAAUAUGAAAGGUUUGAAGUUAGAAGUGAAAGGAAGAAAAAGUCAAUAGAAGUCCUCCGUCUCUCUUCUUUAUGGUCCGGAGCCUUCGAUCAUUCUUUGAGCCUCUAGACCUACUAGAGAAAGCCCCACUCCGCGGAAGAACCUAGAAAGCUAAGCUUGAUAAAGUCCUCCGCCUAAUUCAAUGGAUCUAAUGGACGCAAUAUUCUUUGCACUUGGACCCAGCCUCCAGCUUCUUAUUCGACGUUAGGAGUAUUAAGACCGAAGGACAGACGGGUCCUUCUAUAUAUUCUUUGCACCGCUCUGUGGGUCCUUUCCAUUAAUAGUUAGGAGUCUUAAGACCUCAGUCCUAUCCAUAUUAACCCGCGCUAAGUUCCAUUAAGAGAAAAUUCUUUGCUCUCUGCGACUCGAAGUAAUAGUAUUCAACAAUAUCCCUGUCUUAUGGCGCCUCGCAUAAAUACGGCUUCGAUCAUUCUUUGAGCCUCCGUCGCAAGUCAAAUUCUCUAAUGGAUAGGCCUUCUCCUUCGCCUAUAAAUUCCCAUAUUAAGCUACGAAAUAAAGAAAGCACUACGCGGGAAGAACUGAUCAAUGAAAUUUGAUUGAUUGAAUUUCAUCAUAUCAUAUUUGAAAAAGAAAGAAUAUUGAGGUGCAAAGAAUAUAUAGAAGGCGCAAAGAUCUAAAAAGAAAGGUCCAGAUGACUAUCCAUAUUAACCCAGAGAAAGUUCAGUCAGUUUCAGUGGAAUAAAGGGAAAGCCUAUCCAACAACAUUUCAGUGGAAUAGGAGAAAGGAAGUCCUCCGCUCCGUUGGAGUUGAAUUGGUCCUACGGGAAGAAAAUCAAUGAAGAAGUCAAUGCCCACUACGCGGGGUUAAAGUGAAAGAGGAAAGCCACUAAAAACCUCAAAAUAAUACGGAAAGCCUAGCCUUCUACGGCCUCCAAACAAAAAAAGCUUUACUAGACUCAAAUUCUUUGAGCCUCCGGAGCCUCAAAAAUAUAGCUUAAAGGAAGAGGUGCAAAGAAUAUUGCGUGAUUGAUGCCUCCGUCUCUCUGAUUUAUGGUUAUGGUUCUCCUGAACCUACUCCCUACGGCAAGGCAGAAGACUGCCAAACAGAAGAAAGCCUAGGAGAAGACAACUCCUAGAAAGUUUAAAAGUGGAAUCAAAUAACUAAGAACGAAGAUUUGUUGGGAAGGAAAGCCUUCAUAAGUACUUUCGUCUUAUUUUUAGUCCUCUUUCAUUGAUCUAUCUUGAUGCCAAGAAGAAACUUCAGGAUUACUAACAAUGAACAAGGGAAGCACUACGCGGAAGUUUCAGUUCCUCAGUCGGAAUAUGGACCUCGCAUAUUUCAUUGUGCCUUCUCUCCUUUCAGUCGAGCCCUCAGUCCUAUCCAUCAGUCGAGCCCUCGGGGAGCCUUGAACUUCCUUUAACUGCUUUCCUAUUCCUUUCACUUUUUCUGACUUUACCCUCUCUUUAUUCCGCUCCGUCUUCUUGAAUGAAUCUCAAUUGCAGACUUCUACGUCUUCUGUUUUAUUUUAGUAGGCUCUCUUCUUUUUCAGACGAAGGAUUCUCCCGCUCCGUGGGGUCUUGGACGAGGAUUCUCCCAAGAACCUAACAAAAUACUGAAGAAAGCCAAUCUAGAGACUGAAUACGAGAAACUGAAAGGAGAAAAGCCUAUGAUUUUCAGCAAGCAUUCUUGGAAAGUAACAAUUCUCUUCAGUUUGGUUUUGGAGAACUUGUUGGUCGCGGAUUAGUGCGUUCUGCGCCGCCCGGUGUCACAAUCGUAGUCCUUCAAACAAGAUGUGAACGAUUGUGCGGCACUUGUUCUAGCUCGACGAACAAGUCAGCCGAUCAAAAUCCGCAAAUCGCGGACAACUUUAACACAUGCUUCAACCUCCCCUCACGUUCUUGGAAAAUAUUUUUAGAAAACGUGAAAGAUGAUUAAAUUGAUUGAAAACAUUGUUAAAACAAGCAUUGAAGACUGUCAAUUGCAAUAAGAAAGCAUAGGUUGCAAAGAGUACGACAAGGCUUGGGCGGGGAUUCAACAAGUAUGACUCCCCUAUAGUACAUUUUUAACAUUUUCAUCUCUGGCAGGCUUGCAUAUGAAAAGUGCCAAAACGUCACACCCAAGCAUAUCGACUUGAAAUUGAAAGCAACUACCUAAACUACAUACAAGACAUAAAGACAAGAUAAAUUGGGGCUAAUUGGAGCAUACGGCCAUAGGUAAACACACCUUGGACAAGUAUGUCCGUUACAUUCUCCUCCACCUAAACAGUUGACGUCCCUGUCGACUGGUGAAGCUUGAACUCCUCGAUCUUCUGCGCCUCGGCUUCUAGGUCUUCGACACGUUCCCAACUGGUUUCUUCCACAGGAAGGUUCUUCCACUUUACCAGGUACUCGUGGAUCCUUCUUGUGGGUCUUCGGCCCUUCCUCACUCGUUCGGUCAAGAUUUCUUCAACUUCUUUACUCUCCUUCUGGCUGAGGUUGAUGGCCGGUCGGACUAUGGCAUUACGUUGCAUGUCAUCAGGAUCUUGGUAGUAGGGCUUCAAAUUACUCACAUGAAUUACUGGGUGGAUUUUCAUCCAUGUGGGCAACGCUACUUUAUAAGAUGUGUUCCCUACCUUCUUCAGCACUUCCACUGGUCCCUCGUACUUUCUUAGGAGGCGUUGGUCCUUGCGUCCUCGGAACCGAAUCUGUCCUGGUCGUAACUUAAUGAGAACCUGAUCUCCGACCCGCAACUCUAGAGGGCAGCGCUUCUUGUCUGCCCACUUCUUCAUCCGCUUCGAGGCUUUCCCUAAAGAGGCUCGAGCGAUGUCUGUCGUCUGCUUCCAUUCUCUGGUAAAAUUGUGAGCUUGAGGGUUCUUCCCCGCAUAGGGGUGAUCAACAAGGUGUGGCAGAACUGGUUGCCUUCCGCAAACAAUUUCAAAAGGGCUCUUUUCAGUUGACGAGCUUGUCUGAGCGUUAAAACAAAACUGGGAGACAUCCAACAACUGAGCCCAAUUUCUUUGCCUCGCAGUAACAAAAUGGCGCAAGUAUUCUUCGAGCAUACAGUUGAACCGCUCGGUCUGACCGUCCGUUUGGGGAUGGUAACUUGAGGACACAUUCAGGCUUGUCCCUAAGAAAGUGAAUAACUCUGUCCAAAAGGUGCCAAUGAACCGUCCAUCCCGAUCACUCACAAUGCUUGUCGGUAUGCCCCACAGUUUCACAAUAUGUCUAAAGAAUAAUUGAGCUGUUAACUCCGCCGAACACUGCUUCGUAGUGGGAACGAAAGUGGCAUAUUUCGAGAAUCGAUCUAUGAUGACUAAUAUAGUCUCAUAGUCGCCUACUUUUGGGAGAUGGGUGAUGAAGUCCAUAGAAACACUCUCCCACGGUCUCGUUGGCACCUGCAGAGGUUCGAGAAGCCCAGCAACCUUUGCCUUCUCGACUUUGUCCUGUUGACAGACAAGACACGUCUUCGUGUAUUGCAUGACGUCGUCUCUCAUACGGGGCCAGAAGUAUCCUUUCUUCAGCAAGGCGUAUGUCCUCUGCCAUCCGGGGUGGCCGGCCCACAGAGUGUCGUGACACUCGUGUAGCAACUUCUUCCUCAGGUCUCCUCCCCUAGGGACAUACAACCGUCUCCCCUUCGUCACUAACAACCCAUCUUCAACCCAAAACUGCCUUCUUUUACCUGCCUCAGCUAAACUCAUGACACUCCAAGCCACAGAAUCCUUCUGCAAGAACUCCCUCAAGACAUCGCGCAUAGGGCCAUCAAUCUUGCUUGCUUAGAGAUGUGCUAACAUGCACAAAGCAGCGUGGUCGCCUCUUCGACUAAGCGCAUCAGCGGCCUGAUUGCUCACCCCCUUCUUGUGUUCAAACUCAAAAUCAAACUCAGCUAGGAAUUCCUGCCAUCUAGCUUGUUUUGAAGUCAACUUCGGUUGCGUAAAGAAGUGACAAGUAGCACUAUUGUCCGUCUUCACAACAAAAGUUGACCCCAAUAAGUACUGUCUCCAGGCCCUUAAGCAAUGUACUACGACAAGCAUUUCUUUCUCGGACACGGUGUACCUCCUCUCCGCGGCAUUUAGUUUCCGACUCUCAUCUGGACCUUUCUUUGGCACUGCGGACUACUUCGGUUAAUUACGGAUGGUCCUACGGAUAAAUCCUGCGGACUCCGGACGUAGGAUAAAUUCUGCGGACUCCUUCCUUCCAUAUGGAUGGUCCUACGGAUAAAUCCUCCGGACUACUUAGGUUAAUUACGGAUGGUCCUACGGAUAAAUCCUCUGGACUACUUCGGUUAAUUACGGAUGGUCCUACUUCCAUAUGGAUAGUCCUACUUGUAAUGGAUAGUCCUCCGGAUAAAUCCUGCGGAUGUAGGACCUUGGUUCUUUCUUUCUUUAAUGGAUAGUCCUCCGGAUAAAUCCUGCGGACUGCGGACGUAAGACCCUGGACCUUUCUUUGGCACUCCGAACGGAUAAAGAAAGGAUAAAUAAAGGCGCAAAGAAUAUUGCGAGAGCGGGAAUUACCUUUUCUCUUCAGGUUAGCUAAGAGUUGCCGGAGGCUUGAAGUCGGAUAAUUACUUUUACUUAAAGGUUUCACAAACCUGCAAAAUCUUCUCCAAAUUAGUGUUAGCGUUCUGAGUGCCAAGCAGUAUAUUUAAAAUAUAGAAAGAAGAAAAAUCCAUGCAAUCUAAGUACACUAAGAACCUACAGCAUCGUCACCGCUGCUUGGGAAGGUUAAUUCUUCUAACUCUGGUAUUAUCGUUGAACAAGCAGUUCACAUCCGACUGCCCGCGUAGUGGGGGAAGCUCGCUCGCUAACUUUGCACUUCGGCCAAAAUGCCGAAAAAAGGCUAAGGCCGAAGGAGGUCUGCUCCUUCGCUCAAGGAAAAAUUGCCCGAUUGGAUAUAUAUCUCGGAGCAGAGAGAGGAAAGGAUCACGGAAGCCUUAGUCUCAGUACGAAAGGGGCAAAAAGCUGGAAAAAGCAUACUGGCUUCACCUUGCCCUAGGAUGGGGUCCGUCGGAUCUUUUAAGACAUAGGCUUAAUGCUGAGACGCACGGGGAUAUCCAGUAAAGGAUGGAUAUUCAAGACAAGGACGAAGGCUCUCCGUCACGCAAGAUGAUUAUAAGUCUUAGGAGUGAACUUCCGCUUUACCCCUUCUCGGUUUACCCUUCUUUUAGGAUAGAAAAAGCCACUGCCUGUGUGACCACUACAAGCGGACGUGACGAGCGACGCAGGGCCACCCACGACCGCUAGCAAUACGAGGUAAAGCGGCCAGAAAGCAUACCAUAGGAUGCGUCUUGAGGGCAUUCACAUAAACAUUCUUCGAAUUAUUCACAUUCGACGGGAUGUUCUUAGCCUUGUCUCCAGGUGAAUAAUUGAAUCGGCACCGGCGCGAUCGGACCUAUUGCAGCCUUCGGUUGACUGGUGGCAUUCGAUGGUAUGCUUUGAGGCCUUCCCAACCCGCUCCGUGUAAAAGAGGUAGAAGGAGGCUCAAAGAAUUAUCGAAGAGCGAGACGAAAGAAAAUAGCGACUUCCAGUCGGUGAUGGGAUAUCUCAAUGUUAUCGUAGAUUCAAAGGCGCAAAGAAUAUUGCAUUGAGGCUCGACUGAAAGGAGAGGCGAAUUUGAGAAGAAAGAACUAUAUCGGAUAAAUACUCAACUGCCUCAGACGUCACUGGGACAAGAGCCGGAGAUUCUGAAACCUCUCGCAGCUUCUUUGCUUCCUCUGGUCUCGAUAUUUGAACCGCCUCAAUAAACAACAAAUAAGGGUCCAAAAAAUCAAGGUCAUCUGAAACCCUUUUUUUGAUGCGCCUCAGUCCUAUCCAUUAGAACGCCGGCCCUCACCCUUUUUCUUCUUAGUGCGCACUUGAGCUUUAGUCUUCCGAGUUCUCAAAUUCUUUGACCCUCUGUCUCAGUAUUCGGCAGAGAUGUUGAUGUUAACAAGAAAUGCAGGCUGAAUGCUGUAUGGAAGGAUGAUCAUUUUGGCUUCUUGUAGCCAUUGAUGCUGUCUAAUACUCGGAGAGACAUUGUUAGUAAUGUGACUUUGGACAAGGUUACUGAAGAUAGAACUAUCUGGCCUCAGGUCAGUUUUCAGUUGCUAAGGCAGUGAAGCUCUUUCAUCUUCCUGGUAAUACUGUCCCUUGGUUCAAGCUUCUUUGGGGUAAGAAGCACAUCCCUAGUCAUGCUUUUCUUUCCUGGAUGGCUAUGAAUAAGAGUCUGAGAGUCAAAAUGGCUAUGAAUAAGAGUCUGAGAGUCAAAGCUAAACUGUACAAUCUUUAAGUGCUUCCGUCUGAUUUUGAGGUUUGGAAGCAAAGAAGCAGAGCGGAGUUUGAUUCCUUAUAUCAGGAAAAGAUAUAGGAAGACUCCCAAGAAGAAGAAAGCCUAGGAGAAAGCAAAGAAAGAGUAAGGAUCAGAAAGCUCCUAACCCCUAUUUAUUUAUGGAUGUGAAUUGAGCGAAGGCGCAAAGAAUAUUGCGAAGGUUCAAAGAAUAUUGACUUGAUAAACCUCUAUUUAGCUUCUUAUAUCUGAAGACGAUAAAGUCAGAUAAUCAGCCUUCGGCUGGGUCGGAUCGUCCAUACCUAGUUGAGUAUCUUUGUCCGUCAUAACGAAGUCACUCUUUGAAAAGGGUCGGGCUUUGUUGGAGUUGACUCGGUGAGUACACUUUCAUCUUGACGAGAAGAAGCGCGAACAACAACUAUAUUAUUCAGCCAGAGACCUGAUUUACCCGAUGAGUGGAACGGCUCGACAAAAGUCUUAGGACUCGCGGACAGACGCGCCUCCUUCCUGCUAGAACUCAUAGGUCUACGCGGGUUUUUUAGGUAGCGAGAAUAGUGGUCCCAAACGGAAUAGAAGUACUUUUGAUUCACUGAAUCGGAAUCUUUGAAAGAAUAAAGGGGGACGGAGGAUCAAUGAAAUUUGAUGAUGAUGAGUAAGCUCUCGGUUUUCUUGCUCCUCUUUCUCCUCUUUCUUCCAUAUGGAUAGUCCUACUUCUAAUGGUUAUCUUUAGUUUUACUAUUGUUCUUUUUUUAAUGUUUUCUUAGUUUUUAAUAAGUGUGACAAAAUAUGAAUUAAUUUUUUUCUUUGAACAAAUGUGGAAUUUAUUUUCUUUUAAUGUAGUUGUGUCCCCAAUAAAUUUAUUUUCGCGAUUUAACAAUCCAUCAUGUUCUUUUUCAUUUUUCUGUUGUAUUUUCUUUGGUUCUUUGUUGUGGUAUGUCUAUUUUUGAGACAUUCUUAAUUUAGUUUUAUUUCUUUUAGCUUCCUGCAUCAUUUUGUAUUAUGGAUUGUUAUGAAAUUUUGAGAUUAUGCUUUAUUUUGUUUUUUUGGUCCUUUGGUGUGAUGUCUUUUGAUUAUUUCUUUUGAGUGAACAGUUCAUGUAAGAUUUUCUGCAUGAGAAUAAAUUGAUUAUUUAAUUUGGCAUCCUAAGUUUGCUCUGGGUUCUGUUGGUGGCAUUCAUCAAUAUGUUAAUCUAUUAGGGAAUGUAUGGUUAUAACAAAGUAAGAAGAAUGGAAGUUCUGGGGGAGUAUUUGUGACAAGAGGGCAAGGAUGCUUCUGCAUCAAUUUAGUGUUAGUCAAUCAUGUCUAUGCUUUGGCCCUUCUCAUUCCACUUUCCACUACUACAAAAAUGUAUCUGCAAUUGAUCAUGUAAAAGUGUUUCAAUUUUCUGUCUUAGGUUCAUCUCAGUUAGUUAGUCUUAAGAGUAAGGGAGAUAAUUCAUUUUUCUUGUUUCAGCUAGAUAUUACCCUCCAUGUCCUGAUUUUUAAUUUGGCUUCCUAAGUGUGCUCUAGGUUCUGUUGGUAGCAUUCGUCAGUAUGUUAAUCUACAGGUGAAUCUAUAGUUAUAACAUAGUAAGAAGAAUGGAAGUUCUUGGGGAGUUUGUGUGACAAGAGGGCAAGGAUGCUUCUGCAUUAAUUUAGUAUCAGUGUCAACCAUGUUUAUGCUUUGGCCAUUCUCAUUUCCACUUUCCACUACUCCAAAAAUGUAUUAUCUGCAAUUGAUCAGGUAAAAGUGUUUCAAUUUUCUGUCUUUGGUUCAUCUCAGUUAGUUAGUCUUAAGAGUAAGGGAGAUAAUUCGUUUUUCUUGUUUCAGCUAGAUAUUACUCUCCAUGUCUUGAUUUUUAGUUUUUUAGGGGUGCUUGGUUGGUUUGAAUGCAGGAAACUUUUGCUGGUAAACGAUUCAAACAGCUUUCCAUGUCAGGUUUUUCUAUUAUUUUUCUUUAAUAUUUUGGAACAUGUGUAAUUUCUGUAUAUAUUUUCUUGCCGUUUUCCUUUUUCAUCAUUUAUUUUGAUUUUGGAGAGGGUCUCUUGGUAACUUGACUUUUCUUUUAGUUUUGACUUGGGAACAUGUGCAUUGUGGAUUGUUAUGAAAUUUUGAGUUUCUGCUUUCUUUUGAGUUUUGGUGAUGCCUUUUUACGAGACAUUUUUAAUUUAGGUUAAUUUUUUAGGUUGCUUGCAUUUAUGGAUUGUUCUGAAAUUUUGACUUUCUGCUUUUGUUUUUUAUGUCAUUUGUUGUGUGAUAUUCUCUUUAUAAGAUAGAGAUAUUUUUAAUUUAGGUUUACUAUUUUUUAGCCUGCUUGCAUUUGGUAUCAUAUAUGAAUUGUUCUGAAUUUUGAGUUUCUUCUUUUUCAGUCAUUUGUUGUGCGAUAACUUUUUAUAAGACAGACAUUAAGAUUUAUUAUUUUUGGACUUGUUUGUAUUUUGUAUCACGGAUUGUGGUUUUUUAAAUUCAGAGGAGGAACUAGAAAUUGUUCUUGUGAUAUGUUAAAAUCUAGUUUACUGCAAAGAAUGAAUUCUAAAACAGAGGGUAUGAAUGUCGUCAAUAAUUUUUCUCCAUUUCUGCGUUGAGUAAUGUUUAGCUGAUAUGUUUGUGUAUUCUUUACAUUAGUGCAGCACCACAUGCUAAUUUAGGUGUGAAAUGCUAAUUUAGAUGUGAAACAAUUCCAAAGAUGACGAGAAAUCAAAGAUUGUCGUAGUAAAAAACCUCACCAGUUUUUCAGUUUUUCUUUUCUUUUUCUUUAAUAGUUUGAGUUUUUCCUUUCAGGUUUUUCUUUUCUUUUUCUUUAAUGGUUUGGAAUUUUGCUGGUGUGAUUUCUGCUUUUCUCUUAUCAUUUAUUUUUGAUUUUGGAGAGCAACUUUGGUAAUGUUAAGGUGAUUUAAGAAAAGUUGGUUGUCCAAGAAUCAAUUUUUUUAUAUUACCUUAAAUCUUCCUAAGACAUGUUGGGUCUUUCUUUGGCCUUUGUUAGUGUCUUCUAUUAAGUCUGUUAGUUUCACUUUAGUUGGGUCUUUUUUUAAUUUUAUUUUAGCUUUUAAAUUCCAAAUCCUACUCAUUUGGUCAUGACGAUUGAAUAAUCAUUGUUAAAUUUAUUUCUUGUUGGGAGUGUAGAUUUUAUUUUCUUUUUGGCCUUUGUUAUUUGCAUCUAUACAGGGGUUCGAAAAAUUCAAACCCUUCCCUCUUUUAUUCGACAUUCUUUUAGUUUUAUUAGUACUAUUGGAUUGUUAAAAAUAAUUGUGUUACUAUUUCUUACAUUCCAUAAAGAACCCUUUCUGAUGGAUUAUUUCUUAUUGAACUGUUUUAAAAUUUUGAGUUUCUUCUUUUUCUUUUUUGGGUCCAUUGUUGGGGGAUGAUACAUCUUUAAUUUAGAUUUAUUAUCGUUAGCUUGUUUUGCAUUUUGUAUUAUGUUUUUUGAAAUUUUGAGUUUCUUCUUUUUCUUUCUUUGGUCAUGUGUUGUGCGAUGUUAUUUGCAUUAGGGGUGUUUGGUUGGUUGUUUUUUUAGGGGUGUUUUGGUUAGUUAGGCUUAAGAAGCAAGGGCUAGUGAAAGAGAAGCAUUUGAUUGUACUACAAGUAAUAAGCUUCUCCUCAAUCAUUCAACCAUUUUUUUAGUAAAGAAAGAGGCUUCUCCUCUGGCAACCAAAGUCCGUCCCUCGUUAACAGGUAAGUCUACCCCAUUACUUUUUAUGUCCUUUUAAUUAAGAUAUUUGGGUCAAUAUAUAUCAAAAUAAAUAAGAUCCAUCUUUGGUAAUUUUUAAAAAAAUUAAAUCUAUAAAUACUCAUUUCAUCUCUAAAAUUAUGUGAUUUGUACUUUCUAAAAUUCCCUCGAUGGUACUAAUACACUCUUAUAUUUGUAUUGUAAUUAUCAUGUCCUUUUUCUAUGGUUUUUUAAAGUUAAUUUAGAUCCUUAUUCGCUCUAGGUAUAAGUUGAAUGGAAGAGUUUUUUAGCCUUGAUAGAUCUUGAGUACCUGAAUCGCCGAUGAAACAGAGGUUAUUUUCUCGGAAAUUCCACGAAUUGUUCAGGUUUGGAUUCUGUAAUUCUGUUGUUCUUUUUUGAUUUUGGAGAGUGUCCUGGGUAAUUUUGAGGAUUAUUAUUUUUUUGUUUUUUUGGCUUGCAUUUAAUCACGCGCGUUGGGGAAUAGACAGGCUUCGGAGAAUGAAUCACCUUUUUAAGGUUUCGCUGGGGAGCGAAUUGGCCAUAAGGCAUCCCUUUCUGUUCAGUCUCUCUCUUGCCUUUUUCAUACUAUAUGGUUGUUGAUCUGGGGUUAUUAAAUGAUUGUUGCUUUUAUUUUCAUAAGAAGUGAUUUUAUAUUUUUGUUUCUCUCUGUGCAACUUUAAUAUGAGGUUAUUAAGGAAGGAGAUAAAGGAGGAAGAAGGGACGGAGAAAAGGAAGAAAUGACUGGAUUGUUGGGAUGGGUAUGAAGAUGCAGUAGAGCCACCACCUAGGGGCUGUAAGGUCUAAUGGGCAAAUUGAAAGUAAAAAAGAGUGCACAUCCAUUCAAGCUAAGAGAGCUUGGGUUCCUAAAUUACUAUUGCUCUGGGUUCUGUUGGUGGCAUUGAUUGGUAUUGUUAAUCUACAAGGGAAUUGAUGGUGUUAACAAAGUUAGAAGAAAGGAAGUUUUGGGCGUAUGUGUGACCAGAGGACAAAGAUGCUUCUGCAUCAAUUUACUGUCAGUGUUAAACUAUGUCCAUGCUUUGGUUAUUUUAUUUUCUACUUUCCACUCCUCUCGAAAUGUAUCAGCAAUUGUUCAUGUAAAUGUGUUUCGAUUUCCGUCUUUGAUACUUCUCAGUUAGUUAGGCUUAAAAGUAUGAGAGAUAAUUCAUUUCUCGUCUCAUAUAGAAAUUAUCUUGAUGUCUUGAUUUUUAGGGUUUUUUCAGCGGUUUUUGUUUUUGUUUUUUUUUUUUUUGUUGGAUUUUGGCUAGUUAGGCUUAGAGGUGUAAGGACUUGUGAAAGAGAAGCAUUUGAUUGACCAACGAGUAAUUCUCCUCAGGCAUCCCACCACUUUUCUAUUAAAGAAAUACAGGUACGUCUACGCUAUUACUUUUCAUGUCCUUUUACCUAAGAUAUUUAUAUAAAUAUAUAUAAAAAUAAAUAAGAUCCAUCUUUGGUAAUUUUUUAAAAAUCAAAUAUGUGAAUAUUCAUUUCAUCUCUAAAAUUUUGCGUUUUGUUACUUUUUAAAAUCCCCUCCAUGUUACUAUUACACUCUUAUAUUUGUGUUGUAAUUAUGAUGUCCUUUUUCUUUGGUCUUUUAAAGUUAACUUAAAUCCUUAUUUGCUCUUGGUUUAUGUUGAAGAAAUGGAAGAGUUUUUUAGCCUUAAUAGAUCUGGAGUACCUUAAUCGCUCUUGCAUUUUGUGAUUCUGUUGUUCUUUUUCUAUUUUGAAGAGUGUCCUUAGUAAUUUUUAGGAUUUUUAUUUUAUAGUUUUUGUCGCUUGCAUUUAAACACAGACUUGGUUGUUGAACUGGGGUUCUUGAAUAAUUGUUGGUUUUGUUUUCUGAAGAAGUGAUCUUAUAUUUGUGUAUCUCUAUGUGCAACUUUAAUAUGGGGUUAUUAAGGAUGGAGAUAAAGGAGGAAGAAUGGAGAGAGAAAAGGCAGAAAUGGACUUAAUUGUUGGGAUGAGUAUGACCCCAUGUCUAGUAGUUCCCAAGUAUGAUAUAGGAAGGCAGAGAGUCAAGGCCUUGUCUGACUCUAAUAGAAGUAAGUAGCUAACGCAACGCAAUAUUCUUUGCACCUUCAGUCUGUGAAUCUGAGGAGCAAGAGUUUGGCUAGGGGAGCUAGUCCCGUAACUGCAGGCGCAGUUCUAGUUCUUUACAAGACAGAUGGUAAUUGUAGCUAACAAGUGUGCCCUGAGUGGAAUCCUACCACUAUUUCUACUAUAUUGGCAGGACGGGUGCCAAGUUAUUAGGAGCUAGGCAGCUAAGCCAGUAGUAGUUCAGUUCAGGCGCUGUUCCCAAAUCUAGUUGACUACGUUGUAGCGUAGCGGUACGGGACAGGAAAAGAAUUGAUAGCGAUACACUGAACACAAAGGAAUUUGAUAGACAUAUGUUGAAAGUUCGACAAGUAGCACUGAAUCUACUAUCAGUAGUGAUUUAUAGAAGUUGACUCGCUUAAACGAAGAGAGUGAACAAAGCAUAGCGGAGUGAAGAGAGAAAUGGUUUCAUUUGAUAGCUCUCUCGAUGUCCUUGUUAUCUUUCCUAGGUAGAUUGUGACUUAUUCAUUCUUUCUCGCUGACUCUAGUUUCCCCGACGUGGAUCCUUUCUCGGUUAGGGCCUCCCCUAUCCGUAUUCAUUGAUCGCUCUCUUUGCCGCGAAUCUCGUCAUGGUGGUCCUUCGCCUUGCAAUAUUCUUUGUUCCUCCUUCCUAGGCUUGAUUGGUACAUCAAGCAUAUCGACAUCUUGCUUCUUCGGUUUGGUACACAUAUCUAUCAAUGAAUAGAAAGUAAUAGAAUUCAUUCCUGCGUACUCGCAUAUUGAAUUGUGCCUUCGGACCAUCAAAGAAAGGUCCAGGGUCCAGAGUCCGCAGGAUUUAUUCGGAGUCCGGAGGAUUUAUCCGUAGGACCAUCCAUAUAGAGGGAAGUAGUUCAGAGGAUUUAUUCGUAGGACCAUCCGUAAUUAACAGAAGUAGGACUAUCCAUUAUCCUCCGUCCGGAGUUCGCAUGAUUCUUACCCGUAGGACUAUCCAUAUGGAAGUAGGACUAUCCGUAAUUAACCGAAGUUUGCACCUCUUGAUUAUGAAUCAUAUAUAUUGAUUUUGACCGGAGCAAAGAUCAUUGCCCACAGAGCGACGCAAAGAAUAUUGCGACCUGUGGAUUCAUUGAGGCGGUGAAGAAUUGCCAUUUUAUGAGCUUGUAAGACCCCUCCGGAGGAGAAGGAUAGGGGAGCAAGGUUCAAAGUGGUUUUCAAAGUCAGGGCUAUCCCUUACUAUUGAGGGCUUUGACCACCUAGACACUCGCCUACUCAGUCGCAAGGAUCAAAGAAUUUGAUUGACAAAGAAUAUUGCGAUUUUACCGAGUCCUUCGUCUCGCAAUAUUCUUUGCGCCUUCGGUGAGUCAGGUGUUAAUAUGGAUAAGUCCCUUGGACUGAUAGCGUCCAAAAUAGGCGAGGGCGGACGGGCUAUAAGUAGGCCGUUUGCUAUUGCUAUAAGGGCUGCUUGCCUUUAUACAGCUUGGCUUCGCUAUCGCUCAUGACUUGUAUUGUGGUCGGCCUAAAAAGUAGUCUUCCUACCAUAAAAAAAUGCCUAUUAUCUGGUUCGUUAAGCUUCGCCAAAAGCAAGACGAGGGCGCUUUGCUUCGUAGACAAGGCUCGUCUAGUACUUGACUUACGAGUUCGUGUAGGAUUUCCCCUCUCUCUCUAAAGGGGCUUUUAUGCACGGAACUCCUUGUCUACUAAAGAAGCGUUCGAGCGAGCGAGUUCAGCCUGAAAUUGAGUGGUCUCCCUCCUUUUCCCUCACUGAAAUAUUAUGUCUUUCAUUUCCACUUAAGCUUCCCCGCUUUGAGGGAUUAAUUGAUUGGAUACCUGAGAACCAUAAUCUUUCCUAGGAACUGCUUCUACGACGAUAGGCGUAAAGGCAUGAUUAAUUCCACAAAUCUCACUGCACUGACCAUAGUAAACUCCUUCUCAUUGUACCAAAAUGGAGAUCUGAUUUAAACGGCCAGGUACAACAUCACAUUUGACACCUGAGGAUGGUACAACCCAACUAUGAGGUACAUCAGCAGGUGUUACAAUAAUACGUAGAUGAGUUUUGGCUGGUAGAACCAUUCUAUUGUCCACUUCUAAUAAACGUGAUUGACCCAAUUCUAAAUCAUCUUCUGGAAUCGUAUAACUGUCAAAAGUGAGUGACUGUUCAUCGGAACUAUUAUAGUCAGAAUACUCAUAAAUUCGAUACCAUUGAUGUCCUAUAGCUUUGAUAGUCAUGGCUGGAUCUACUACUACCUCGUCCAUUUAGUAUAAAGAGAGCAAAGGAUGAUAUAACAAUGAACACCGGAAUGAUACUAGGAAAAAUGGUCCAAAGAAUCUCGAUAGUAGUUCCAUGAACAAUCCUUUGCGGUAUUUUCUUUUGAGAAUAGUGGAAAUGCCAUAAAGCGCGAACCAAGAUCCGUGAUACGAAAACAAAAAUCAGAAUGAGGAAGAAAAAGAUAUCGUGAUGUAAGUCUAUUAUUCCUUGCAUCAUAGGUGUUGCUGCGUCUUGAGAUCCUAAUUGCCAUGGUUCCGCUACAUCACAAGGAGCAAUUGUGAGGAAUAGCCAUUUGAGCACAAUCAUUUUCCAUUGUUUAUUCUUUGACCCGUCUGUCCUUCGGUCUUAAUACUCCUAACGUCGAAUAAGAAGCUGGAGGCUGGGUCCAGGUGCAAAGAAUAUUGCGUCCAUUAGAUCCAUUGAAUUAGGCGGAGGACUUUAUCAAGCUUAGCUUUCUGGAUUCUUCCGCGGAGUGGGGCUUUCUCUAGUAGGUCUGGAGGCUCAAAGAAUGAUCGAAGGCUCCGGACCAUAAAGAAGAGAGACGGAGGACUUCCAUUGACUUUUUCUUCCUUUCACUUCUAACUUCAAACCUUUCAUAUGAAACCUUGAAAAUAAAGGAGGGAGCGGACUACGGAGGCCAUAAGUUUGAGUUCCUCAGAUGGAUAAAAACAAGUCCUCCGGACGCUACGUAGUCUUGUCUCCUUCCCCACGUAGUGGGCAUUGACUUCUUCAUUGAUUUUCUUCUAUCUCCCACGUAGCGGUUGAAUAUGAAAGGAAGCCCACGGAGCUGAAGACGGAGCGGGAUAAUAAAGAAGAAAGCUCAAAAGGAGGGAGCAGACCUCAAUGAACAAGGGGAGGACUCAUUUUCAUCCUUAUGGAAGAAAAAUCUCUUUUUUUAUCUAAAAGACGUAGAAGGAGGCUCAAUGUCUAAUCUUUCUCUCAAAUCAAUAUCCCCCGGUGCAAAUAUUCUAGCAAUAUUCUCAAUAUGAAAAGAGCCUUUCUUCUUUUCUUAGAUAAAUGCGCUUCGUAGAUUAUGCUGAAGGAGGAGUGGGCCAUGAUCUUUGCUCCUUAAUUUCCCUAAUGGAUAGUCAUCUGGACCUUUCUUUUUAGUUCUUUGCGCUCGUCAACGCAUAUUUCAUUGCGCCUUCGCCUUCAAUGAAAUCCAUAAAUAAAUAAGGGUAGAUUUCAGACUCAAGAGGAGGGUUCCUUAUCAAUAUCAAUGAGACGAAUGGGCUUUCUUUUACAUUCUACAGGUCCGAAGGACUAUCCAUAUUUAUUAACCUGUCUGUCCUUCGCCUAACUAGUUCAUAUAGACCUUUGUUUUUCUUCCGCGGUCACUAAUAUGGAUAGUCCGGAGGACCUCCUUCAGCAUAAUCUAUGAAUGAUCGGAGCAAAGAAUAUUGCGGAAAAGAAGAAAGGAGUGCAAGCGAAAACUAAUGGAUUGAAUAGUCCUUCGGACGGACUACCGCACCGUGGGGGAUAUUGUUGAGAAAGAAUAUUGAAAAAGAAUGAUCGAAGAAUAUUGAAAAAGGACGGAGGAUAGGCUUUCUUUGAACAAUGUGGAUGUAUCAAAGAUUCCACAGGUUAAUAUGGUAGAUUUCAGACUAGUCCUUUGCCUUGUAUCUGGAGACUAUUCGCUCUUCUAAUAGACAGAGGAGAGGUUCAAAGAAUAUUAAGAAUACUCGUGCAAGCGCAAUCAAUGAACAAGGUGAAAAGAAUAAAAAAAAGGUGGUCGAUGAUCAGGAAGAAAAAGCAAAAGUCUAUCCCCU
rnacentral:lncRNA from 1 species